CCUACGGGAGGCAGCAGUGGGGAAUUUUGGACAAUGGGCGCAAGCCUGAUCCAGCAAUGCCGCGUGCAGGAUGAAGGCCUUCGGGUUGUAAACUGCUUUUGUACGGAACGAAACGGCGAGCUCUAAUAAAGUUCGCUAAUGACGGUACCGUAAGAAUAAGCACCGGCUAACUACGUGCCAGCAGCCGCGGUAAUACGUAGGGUGCAAGCGUUAAUCGGAAUUACUGGGCGUAAAGCGUGCGCAGGCGGUGAUGUAAGACAGAUGUGAAAUCCCCGGGCUCAACCUGGGACCUGCAUUUGUGACUGCAUCGCUAGAGUACGGUAGAGGGGGAUGGAAUUCCGCGUGUAGCAGUGAAAUGCGUAGAUAUGCGGAGGAACACCGAUGGCGAAGGCAAUCCCCUGGACCUGUACUGACGCUCAUGCACGAAAGCGUGGGGAGCAAACAGGAUUAGAUACCCUGGUAGUCCACGCCCUAAACGAUGUCAACUGGUUGUUGGGUCUUCACUGACUCAGUAACGAAGCUAACGCGUGAAGUUGACCGCCUGGGGAGUACGGCCGCAAGGUUGAAACUCAAAUGAAAUUGACGG
rnacentral:rRNA from 1 species